AACAAACGCUGGCGGCGUGCCUAACACAUGCAAGUCGAACGCGAAAGGGGCUUCGGCCCUGAGUAAAGUGGCGCACGGGUGAGUAACGCGUGGGUAAUCUGCCUCUCAGUUGGGAAUAACCCAUCGAAAGGUGGGCUAAUACCGAAUAAUGCUGUGUCACCCCGGUGAUCCAGCCAAAGACGGCCUCUGCUUGCAAGCUGUCGCUGAGAGAUGAGCCCGCGUACCAUUAGCUUGUUGGUGGGGUAAUGGCCUACCAAGGCGACGAUGGUUAGCUGAUCUGAGAGGAUGAUCAGCCACACUGGAACUGAGACACGGUCCAGACUCCUACGGGAGGCAGCAGUGAGGAAUCUUGCGCAAUGGGGGAAACCCUGACGCAGCAACGCCGCGUGAGUGAGGAAGGCCUCGGGUCGUAAGCUCUGUCGGUGGAAGAAAUAGUAUAGGUGCUAAUACCAUCUAUGCUUGACGGUACCG
rnacentral:rRNA from 1 species